GACGACGCUGGCGGCGUGGAUUAGGCAUGCAAGUCGAACGGUAUCAUCCUUUCGGGGGUGAGAGAGUGGCGAACUGGUGAGUAACACGUAGGUUAUCUACCCUCAAGACGGGGACAACCCAGGGAAACUUGGGCUAAUACCGGAUGUGAGCAACUUUUAGUUGUUUGAAAGGUGGCGUAAGCUGUCGCUUGGGGAUGAGCCUGCGUCCUAUUAGUUAGUUGGUGAGGUAACGGCUCACCUAGGCAAUGAUAGGUAGGCGGCCUUAACGGGUGGUCGCCCACACUGGGAUUGAGAUACGGCCCAGACUCCUACGGGAGGCAGCAGUCGAGAAUAGUCUACAAUGGUCGGAAGACUGAUAGUGCGACGCCGCGUGAACGAUGAAUCCCUUCGGGGUGUAAAGUUCUUUUAUAUGUGAGCAAUGCUUCUUAUAUUAACAGUAUGGGGAGAGAGAUAUUAGCAUAUGAAUAAGCAACGGCUAACUCCGUG
rnacentral:rRNA from 1 species